UCAAACACAACACAUUCAGUUUUUAAAUCAAUGAAACUAUACUGCUACCUGAUUGGCUGUUCUUUCAAGACAGUCUUUAUUGUUCAUUUGUUUAUUUAUGAAAUUCUGUUAGUCUUGAGUACAACCACCUUUAAAUUACUGUGGUUUUGUAGCCUCUCUGAAGAAACAAAAAUUCAGGAAAUCAUCUUUCUUGAUGGCUAAAAUUUACUCCGCAUAGAUUUAGGAAGUCUGUGACUUGACUUUAUUUACCAUGUUUUCACUGAAUUUGAGCGUAGUUUACUUCAGCUUACUUAUUUGCUAUUGUUAAGAAGGCCAUUAUAUUCAUCAGAAUAAUAUGCCUUCUGAUAUAAAUCUCUCUCUCCAGCACAGCAGCCGAUCAGCGUUCACGGAUUGACGUGCAGGCGAUCAUCCCGCCCACAACGUUUAGUGCAAAGCUGAAAGCGAGUCCAGCGGAGCGCUGACGCAGAUUCUGAGCUUUUCUGUUUUAUAUCUUAUAUAGUUUCAUUCAUCGUUCGGGUGUUGUGCGUCUAUUGAAAAAAAACCACACACACACAUACUGAAAACACCCAACUAAGAAACUUUUCAACUUUCUACUAAUAACUGAGUUGUUGUGGUGACAAAUAAACGGGUUACUCCCAUAUUUCAACCAUC